UACGGGGGGGGCAAGCGUUGUUCGGAAUUACUGGGCGUAAAGGGCUCGUAGGUGGCCAACUAAGUCAGACGUGAAAUCCCUCGGCUUAACCGGGGAACUGCGUCUGAUACUGGAUGGCUUGAGUUUGGGAGAGGGACGCGGAAUUCCAGGUGUAGCGGUGAAAUGCGUAGAUAUCUGGAGGAACACCGGUGGCGAAGGCGGCGUCCUGGACCAACACUGGACACUGAUGAGCGAAAGCCAGGGGAGCAAACGGG
rnacentral:rRNA from 1 species